UUCCUACGGGGGGCUGCAGUGGGGAAUCUUGCACAAUGGGGGAAACCCUGAUGCAGCGACGCCGCGUGAACGAUGAAGCCCUUCGGGGUGUAAAGUUCUUUCGACGGGGACGAUUAUGACGGUACCCGGAGAAGAAGCUGCGGCUAACUACGUGCCAGCAGCCGCGGUAAUACGUAGGCAGCAAGCGUUGUUCGGAAUUACUGGGCGUAAAGAGUGCGUAGGCGGUUGGCUAAGUUUGGUGUGAAAUCUCCCGGCUCAACUGGGAGGGUGCGCCGAAAACUGGCCGGCUAGAGUGUGGGAGAGGUAAGUGGAAUUCCUGGUGUAGCGGUGAAAUGCGUAGAUAUCAGGAGGAACACCUGCGGUGUAGACGGCUUACUGGACCAUGACUGACGCUGAGGCACGAAAGCGUGGGGAGCAAACAGGAUUAGAUACCCCAGUAGUCG
rnacentral:rRNA from 1 species